CUGCGAUGUAAAGACAGUAUUUAACCCCGCAGCAUCCACAGAAGUCAGCUGUUGUUUCAAGCGCGGAGUAUAUCGUUUCAGUUGUUGAGCGGAAUUAAACACCAGCCGUGUUUGGUAAACUUCAAAUCUUGGAGAAUUUUGAAGAAAAUUGGAACAGAGGAGCUGUGGGCAGGCUACUCCUUGAAGGGCAGGAUGCAGAAUGCUGUCGCACGAGCAGAUGGAGAAAGAUGUGGAGGAGGAGGGCACAUAUGAAGAACCAGCACCUGAAUAAAUUAGACUUUUUUUUAGUAAUACCAACUUUAGUGUGGUAGGAUACUUUAGGUAUUGUUUAAAUAAAUUGUUUAAGCAGUACCAACAAGUUAAAUGAUUCAAGUCUUGAGGUCAGGGGAGGUUCCAAUACAUUGUAUACCAAACCAUACAUGCAUAGGACUCCAAAUCAGUAGCUAUAGUUUAACAUCCUUUCUCAUACCAUUUCUAGACAUUUGUUAUAACAUGAUUGGUUCAAAAUAUUUUGUAUACUCCGAUGAUUGUGACACCGAAAGAGAAAAAGAUUAGGAAUUUCCAUCUUCGGAGGACUGCCUUUUAGUAUGUUAAGCAUUUAGCAUUUUUCUCUGCUUAUCUCUAAGAUUAGUUUUAGGUCUACAGUUAAAGUAUAUUUUAACAUGUAAAGAUAUAUACAUGUAAAGACAGAUGUGGCUUGUAAUAUAAAGACUGAGUUUGAGAUGUUUGAUGCUUGUUUCAUUAACUUAAAAACCAAUCUUCAGGUAAUAAUAAUGUUCUGAAGACAGCCUUUAUACAGUUUUGUUUUGUUGUAUAUAUGUUGAUAUAUCUUUUUUUAUUAACCAAAUGGGUCACUUUAAUUGGCUUUCCAUUGAGAGGAUCAUUUGUGUUGUUUUGCACUAGAAGUACCAGUAACUUUUCUAAUCCUGAACAGGCUAUGACAUUCAGUACCUUUGUAAAACCUUAAAGGAAUGUUACAAAUGUCUCAGUUAUAUUUCUUGUACUUCAUGAAAACGUUAUUUUAGGUAAUCUUGAUAACAUUACUUACAGUACCAAUUGGGGAUGUAAUCGUGUGUAUGUUCAGGCAACUAUUAUAAUGUUACUAAAUAAACGUCAUUAGGACUUUCAGAGGCCCCCACAUUUCUGCGUCCUGAAUAGACUUGGGACAUAACUUACGUCAGCUGACACCACAGGUACAUACAGACGACGUUUCACAAGUACGUAACCAUGACUUUGUGGAGACUACAAAACCGUUGAGGUCACGUCCUGGAACGUAAUUUUAUUAGCUGGGACGUUGAGGUCACAUCGAGGAACGUAAUUAGCAACAUCAUUUUAAGUAAUCCUAAUAACAUUACUUACAGUACCAAUAGGGAACGUAAUCAUGUGCACGUUCAGGCAACUUUAUAACGUUACUAAAUAACGUCAUUAGGCCUUUCAGAGGCCCCCCACAUUUCUACAUCCUGAA
ensembl:lncRNA